GCCGGGUUAGCUCAGUUGGUAGAGCAGCGGUUUUGUAAACCGAAGGUCGCGGGUUCAAGUCCUGCACCCGGCACCA
rnacentral:tRNA from 1 species